GGACGGCCAAAGUCGGGGCCACCGCCCGGGGGGAUUUGCGAGGAGAGGGAUCGUCGAGUAGGGCGCUAGCUCCUUAGUGCCUCCGUAGAAAUGCGAACGGAGCGAGCCGUUGCUGACAGCGCGGCCCCACUCGACAGCAGGUGCUGCAGCGCUGCCGAUCAAUAGCUCGCCCUGACCCGCCACGGGCGGCAGCACCGCCGCCGCAGACCGCCCCGGGCUGCACAAAUAUCACUGCGCAACCGGCACGCAAAGCCCGACCGCGAACGCUUCUCUUCUUCGAGACCAGAUUCGUGUAUCUCAGAUGGCGUUGGCCCCGUCUCUGCUAUAAUCAUGGCGGCGCAGUCCCCUGUCGCUGCUGCCACCUACCGCCGACGUCGAGAAAUACUAGGCACCAGGACCAAGAGCCACGCCCACAGUUUCCGCGUCUGGACUGUUUGUCACUACAAUUUUGCAGAAUAUUAAUGUCCAAGUAUAAUAAAUCUUAGAAGCCUU